ensembl:lncRNA CLMAT3 colorectal liver metastasis associated transcript 3
GGUGCACUCCUCGCAGCUGAAGUCCCACUGGGGCACCUCUCUCCUUCACAGGAUAGAGAGCUAUUCUCCUUUCUCUUACUUUUGCCUAUUACAUCUCAGCUCCUAAACCUACUUCUUGUGUGUCCAUGUACUCAAUUUCCUUGGCGUGAGAUGAUGAACCUCAGGUGUUUACCCAAGACAAACGAUGCCACUUCAUUAAGAUUUGAAGACAGCUGAAUGGUUCCAGUCUUUCAGUCCUGCUCCUGGCCAACACUGGACCUCUCAAAGUCUAGCCAACUCCUCUUCCAGCGCCUUGAUAAACAACCCCCUCAUGCUGGGAACCACAGCAGUGGGCUGUUUUUCUCCCUCAUGCACCCCAGGAAGCCUCUCCUCUUUGCCUGGGCUUUCUUCCCAAGGCCUUAGCUGCCAACCCAUUUUACACCCAUGCGAAGCCCAGUCAGUCACCUGAAGAAAAGGAGACUCACAGAAGGCCCAAGAUGAAAGACUCUUUAAUCCUGUGGCUUUUUGAGUUUUGUUUUUAGCAGGAAGACCUUAUUUUCAAAACAAAUUGUUACACAGAAUUUGCCAGUUUACAGAACAGAUGAAUAAAGACAUUUAUGGCAGACUUGUUUAUUGUAGCACAACACUGGAAAGACACGAAAAGUCCAUCAGUAAGGAACAGAUUUAAUAAGAUGAUGGUGAAGUCAUACAAUGGAAUACUAUUCUGCUGUCUAAAAGCGUGAGGCACCUCCCAACAAUAAUAGCACAAGUUCUGAGAAAAUCUUUACUUUAUAUGGACAGUAUUUGGUUAACAGUUCCAUUUUAGGGCAAAGACCAAGAUUACUACUUGUUUUGUUAAAAUGUGCCACCUCCUAUUCAAACUUGUCCAAUGUUUAUUUGGAACUUAAAUAUGGUGACCAAAUAUCCCAGUUUGCUUAGAACUGAAGGGUUUCCUGGGAUAUAGGACUUUAAGUGCUAAAACGGAAAAUUCCAGGCAAAGGAAUGAGUUGGUCACCCUAUACUUAACAGAAGUCAACAUGUUAUUUUAGAAAGAAUAGGUAGAUUAUUAUUACUAAUUUUAGCCCAUGUUAAUAAGCCAAUAUAUUCACAAAUAAAACAACCAGUAUUUGUACUU